UUGCAAACUGGAGAUGGCGACCGGCGCACGGGUGAGUAACACGUAUCCAACCUGCCGAUAACUCGGGGAUAGCCUUUCGAAAGAAAGAUUAAUACCCGAUGGCAUAAUAGAACCGCAUGGUUUGAUUAUUAAAGAAUUUCGGUUAUCGAUGGGGAUGCGUUCCAUUAGGCAGUUGGUGGGGUAAUGGCCCACCAAACCUUCGAUGGAUAGGGGUUCUGAGAGGAAGGUCCCCCACAUUGGAACUGGGACACGGUCCAAACUCCUACGGGAGGCAGCAUG
rnacentral:rRNA from 1 species